rnacentral:rRNA from 1 species
AAUGAACGCUGGCGGCGUGCCUAACACAUGCAAGUCGCACGAGAAAGUCCCAGCUUGCUGGGGCAAGUAAAGUGGCGCACGGGUGAGUAACGCGUGGGUAAUCUACCUCCGAAUUGGGGAUAACACUGCGAAAGCGGUGCUAAUACCGAAUGACAUCCCCGGGACUCCGGUCUUGGUGAUCAAAGGUGGCCUCUACAUGUAAGCUAUCGUUUGGAGAUGAGCCCGCGUACCAUUAGCUAGUUGGUAGGGUAACGGCCUACCAAGGCUGCGAUGGUUAGCUGGUCUGAGAGGAUGAUCAGCCACACUGGAACUGACACACGGUCCAGACUCCUACGGGAGGCAGCAGUGAGGAAUUUUGCGCAAUGGGGGAAACCCUGACGCAGCAACGCCGCGUGAGUGAUGAAGGCUUUCGGGUCGUAAAGCUCUGUCAAGUGGGAAGAACCUGCUUUGUGAUAAUACCACGAAGCACUGACGGUACCACUGAAGGAAGCACCGGCUAACUCCGUGCCAGCAGCCGCGGUAACAC